GAAAACUCCACAAUGUACGACAGUACGAUGGGGUUAUCUCGAGUGCAGUCCGAUAAGGGCUGCUUUUCCAUAGAGUAAUAUCCUGUGGGAAUAAGAGGGGGGCAAGACUGGUGUCAGCCGCCGCGGUAACACCAGCCCCUCGAGUGGUGGGGACUAUUAUUUGGUCUAAAGCGUCCGUAGCUGGCUGUAUCCGUCCCCCGUUAAAUCCAGCGUCCUAAGCGUUGGACUGCGGGUGAUACCAUACAGCUAGAGGGUGGGAUAGGUGAGCGGUAUUUCUGGGGUAGGGGCGAAAUCCUUUGAUCCCAGGAGGACCACCAGUGGCGAAGGCUGCUCACUAGAACACGCCUGACGGUCAGGGACGAAAGCUGGGGCAGCGAACCGGAUUAGAUACCCGGGUAGUCCCAGCUGUAAACGAUGCCAGNCUAGGUGUUGGGUCGGCCACGCGCCGCCCCAGUGCCGCAGGGAAGCCGUUAAGCUGGCCACCUGGGGAGUACGGCCGCAAGGCUGAAACUUAAAGGAAUUGGCGGGGGAGCAC
rnacentral:rRNA from 1 species